rnacentral:rRNA from 1 species
GACGAACGCUGGCGGCGUGCUUAACACAUGCAAGUCGAACGGAAAGGCCCUGCUUUUGUGGGGUGCUCGAGUGGCGAACGGGUGAGUAACACGUGAGUAACCUGCCCUUGACUUUGGGAUAACUUCAGGAAACUGGGGCUAAUACCGGAUAGGAGCUCCUGCUGCAUGGUGGGGGUUGGAAAGUUUCGGCGGUUGGGGAUGGACUCGCGGCUUAUCAGCUUGUUGGUGGGGUAGUGGCUUACCAAGGCUUUGACGGGUAGCCGGCCUGAGAGGGUGACCGGCCACAUUGGGACUGAGAUACGGCCCAGACUCCUACGGGAGGCAGCAGUGGGGAAUAUUGCACCAUGGGCGGAAGCCUGCUGCAGCAACGCCGCGUGCGGGAUGACGGCCUUCGGGUUGUAAACCGCUUUCGCCUGUGACGAAGCGUGAGUGACGGUAAUGGGUAAAGAAGCACCGGCUAACUCCGUG